UUUUGUUCAUCAGGAAAAGCCCCAGGGAUUGUGUAAGUCACAGGAAACAGUGGGGCAGGAGGGCAGGAUGUAUUGCUAUUAGUAGAUAGUGGAAUUGAGAGAUCUUUGAAAGCUGCGUUACCAUAUUUAAAGAAGUUAUUGCAGGGUUAACGCUACCUCGGAGGAAGAAGAAUAGGAGCUUUCCUCAAACGACCACCGGACAGCAGACAAAGACCCCUCGCAACACGCCACGCAGAUGCAGAGCACGUCGAGACUGUCACAAAGUCUGGAACUGAAGGGGUAUGAGAACUGAAAGACCGGGAGGUGUGGUGCGAGCCGUUGGUGGGAGCAGAGGCUCCCCGGCCGCCCAGCGCUGCAUUUGCCCGUACUGCUUGCUUGCUAAAUUAAUAAAAUUCUCUUUAUAAAGUGACACAAAUUGGUCCCGUGUCAUAAUUUAUAACAAUAUUUGGUGCUGUGACUCGGAUAGAGAAAUAGCCCGGUUGUUCUGGGACCCUCAGGAGGCGCCUUGCCUUUUUUGGCGGCCCGAUUGUUCCAGACCUCCCGGUCUCUCUACCGACAAACCUAAAUUAAGCUGCGGACAAAGGAGAGCCGGUUAAAAGGAGAACCGGUUACCCCUGUAAACUUUGUGCACGAAGAUCCGAGCGAAGACGCAGGACGCAAACUGCUAUCAGAACAGCUGAGAAGGGGUGGACUCAUGCGAGCCACGUCAAAGGUCCAGCCACCACAGACGACCACUGGAAAGUGACCAGUCAGCCUGGGGACUUGAAGGUUACCAUUAAGAGAAACUGAUGAACUCUCUAUACAUCAUUCAAGUCGGUCACAAAGGGGAGCAAGAGGGAUAUAAUUACCUGCUUGUUAGUGAUUAUUUGAUAAUUUGUAAUAAGGUAGACUGUGAUUGUUAUCCUUUUGUAUGCUUUGCAUGUAAAGUUUGCCAAGAACGGUGGGGAGUCCAUUGCCGAAGGGAGAGGCUGCCCACUGGGGUUUGUACAGAAUGUUACACGACUGAACGAGAAUUAACCGAAGCUGUGUUGAAAUUAGGGGAGUUGGAAAUCAGUGGAUUCCCUUUGAAUCUGAGGAAAAUUUACACCAGAGGGGUGCAUCCAGAAAACUUUUGUUUCCACUCUAACGAGCCCCCUCCAUUUGUUGCCCAAAUUAUAAAAGAGUGUUGUUGAAGGGAACUAAAGGGGGUCCCGUGUAACCCACCCCCGGUCAAGGAUAAGAACUGGGAACAGUACAAGGUUAGGCAGGAGCAGGAGAAUGGGCGCUCAGGUGAGUACCGCUGCUGCCGAGAAGAUGGUUUACCCCGCGGCUCGAAGCACCCGAGUCGGCGGGCAAGGCAUUGGGGAAAGAGCCAGGCCCCCCAAAAAUAGAAUAAUGCUGAAAUGCUCCAACUAUUGCCAGCCAAGUACUAAGUUCCUCCAGAAGACCAGUCUGAUUACCCCCGAGACACCAACAGGGCAACAAACCCAAAAGGGGAAAAUAAGACAUUAUAUAGUAAAUGCAAGGUCAGGACUCCACCCUUAUUGGCAAAUUACUGGUAUUACAAUGUUUUUUUUACCCUAUACUAAGGAGAGGGCUCCCAAGCUUUACAUCAGCCUUUUAAGUGGACACUAACCCGAGUGGAUGGUGUGGGAAUUCAGAACCAGAUAACAUCCGGAUCCCCUAGUUUUAACCCACAGUUAUGUGAACUAGCCCCUAUAGAGCCUUGUUUGGAUAGAAACGGAUUUUAUAUGUGCCCAGCAUCAAACCCAGGGAAAGGGUGUUGCAACUACCAUGGAGAAUAUUUCUGUGGGCACUGGGGCUGUGAAACAAUAGCUUCAGAUUGGUCAGUAGCAGGAGAUUAAUUCCUUAAAGUAUCAUGGGGGCCUUAUGGAUAUAAACCUCCGCAGAAGGAUUCCAGUGGUAAAAUUGUGAACUCGGAGAAUUGUCAUUAUUAAGGGAAGGCUAGAAGCAUCACACCUGAUGCUGAUUAGAGCAAAAUAUGAGUCAAUGCCAGAAAACCUAUAAAUGGAAGAGAUCCUAGUUAUAAGCCACCAAGAAUUACAAAGGUUUGAUGAACAAAAUGAUGAAAAGACAUUAGGGGGGAUUUGUGAAAGACAAUAGCAUAGUUUUUGUUCAUCAGGAAAAGCCCCAGGGAUUGUGUAAAUCGCAGGAAACAGUGGGGCAGGAGGGCAGGAUGUACUGCUAUUAGUAGAUAGUGGAAUUGAGAGAUCUUUGAAAGCUGUGUUACCAUAUUUGGAGAAGUUAUUGCAGGGUUAACGCUACCUCGGAGGAAGAAGAAUAGGAGCUUUCCUCAAACAACCACCGGACAGCAGAAAAAAGACCCCUAGCAACACGCCGCGCAGAUGCAGAGCACGUCGAGACUGUCACAAAGUCUGGAACUGAAGGGAGGAACCACAACGAACACCUGAUCGGGGAGGAGAUGCUUCCUUGUCCUAGCUCUGACCUAAGUGUACACAGGAUGGAGUGGCCAGGUAACCUUUACCAGAGGUGCAAAUUACAGCACUAGCUUCCCACAUCUGCUAUAUUUUGUGAAAAAUGUGUAUUUUAUGAUUGGCUUUUCACAAAUAUUAAAACGACUAUUACAUGUGUUAUGUUAGAAAGUUAUGCUGUAUUAAUUCUCUUAAGUAGCGUGUUAAAUAAGUUUUAGGUUAUAACAUAAUGUUAAAAUAGAAACUAUGUGAUAUAAAAUAUUUUUUACUAGUUCAAGAAAGGGUAAGAUAAUCAAGAAACUCUUUGCACAGCGGUAACAGCAACAGGACACAUAAAGAGCUACUGCCUCCUUAUCAGAAAAGACACUCUUCCACCUUCUCUCCAUCUUCAUGGAACCACCAGGAUUAAGGGGAAGAAGUUGACAAACACCAGAAAAAUUCUUAAUUUGCAAGGAAUUUAUGCAUCAUGUAUAAGAUAUAUGAAUAUGCAACAGGCUAUUGCUUUUAAGGGUUAUUACUUUGUUCACGAGGCAUGUUUUUGGCAGUGUUAUAAAUUAUGACACGGGACCAAUUUGUGUCACUUUAUAAAGAGAAUUUUAUUAAUUUAGCAAGCAAGCAGUAUGGGCAAAUGCAGCGCUGGGCGGCCGGGGAGCCUCUGCUCCCACCAACGGCUCGCACCACACCUCCCGGUCUUUCAGUUCUCAUACCCCUUCAGUUCCAGACUUUGUGACAGUCUCGACGUGCUCUGCAUCUGCGUGGCGUGUUGCGAGGGGUCUUUGUCUGCUGUCCGGUGGUCGUUUGAGGAAAGCUCCUAUUCUUCUUCCUCCGAGGUAGCGUUAACCCUGCAAUAAC